rnacentral:rRNA from 1 species
UACAUAGGGUGCAAGCGUUAAUCGGAAUUACUGGGCGUAAAGCGUACGCAGGCGGCUUUGCAAGACAGGUGUGAAAUCCCCGGGCCUAACCUGGGAACUGCAUUUGUGACUGCAUGGCUAGAGUCUGUCAGAGGGGGGUGGAAUUCCACGUGUAGCAGUGAAAUGCGUAGAGAUGUGGAAGAACACCGAUGGCGAAGGCAGCCCCCUGGGAUGAGACUGACGCUCAUGUACGAAAGCGUGGGGAGCAAACAGG